GCCUGAUCUCAGGAUUUCAAAAUGAUACAUGUAUAUAUACGCAUCAAUAGAAAUAGCAUGAAAAAGAGAAUAUGAUGAGACAUUAUCCAUUCGCAAUUAUGUUUCUCAUGAACAAGUAGCAUAUAGGAUGAGUGAGAAACUACAACACCCACCAAAAAUAUGACUAUAUCAAGGUAGGAUGGAAGAAAAUGGGUAGCCGAAAUACCAGAAGAAAGACUACACGAGAGCAUCAGCACCGGCGACAAUCUCCAAGAUUUCCCCCGUGAUCUUAGCCUGCCUCUGGCGAUUGUAGACACCGGAGAGGCUCUUCUUGAGAUCAUCAGCAUUGUCACUAGCACUGCUCAUGGCGCUCAUCCUGGCAGCAAGCUCGCUGGCGAGCGAUUCUUGGAGAGCUCGGAGGACCUGAGAGUUGAGGUAGAGGGGAAGCAGUGCAUCGAGGAUUUGCACGGGAUCCUGCUCGAACUGAAGGAUGGGGGAGAACUCCGGGGUAGGGGUCCGGAUGGUAUCGCGCUCGAGGGUGAGCUUUCCCUCCUUGGUGGUGAGGCGGAAGAGUUCAUCGUCAGCAGCAUCGACGCAGACACCAUUGACAUCACAGAUCUCACCCUUGGGGGAGAGGGGGAGGAGGGUGUGGAUGACGGGGUCGGACUUGACGAGGGAGACGAACUUAGUGUAGAGGAGCUCAACCUUGUCGACCUCCUCGCUGACGAAGAGGGCGAAGACUUCGUCGGCAAUCGCCUGAGCGUCCUUGGUGGUGGGGAGGCCACCGACCUCGAGGAAUCGAUCGACGGGGAUGUAGGGGCGGCGCUGGAAGUAGGUGUUGCCCUUCUUGCCGACGCUGAUGACUGUGUAUUCGAUGCCGAGGGCCGUGAGCUCCCUCAUACGGGCCUCGGCCUUGCGGAUGACGAAGUUGUUGAAGCCGCCGCAGAGUCCGCGGUCGCCGGUGACGACGACGAGGCCGACUUUCUUGACUUUGCGGACGGCGGUGAGGGGGACGUCGAUGUCCUCGGUCUGGAGCUGCUCGUUGAUGUUGUAGAGGACUUCGACGAGGGUCUCGGAGAAGGGGCGGCCACUGACGACUGCCUCCUGGGCGCGGCGGACCUUGGCAGCGGCGACGAGCUUCAUGGCCUUGGUGAUCUUCUGGGUGUUCGUGACGGAUUUGAUGCGAUCGCGGAGCUGGCGGAGGCUGCAGUGGACGGCGGUGGGGCGACGGGAGGGGGAGGGGGAGGAAGAGGGGAGGGGGAGAAGUGAGGGGGAGAUGAGGGAGCGGGAGGAGAGGGAGUCGAGGGUGGUGGAUUUGGGGGAUGCCCACAUGGUGAGGUUGGAGCAGGACAUCUCCGUUCCUUCCUGAUUUGUGUUGGUUGGGUCUGAUGGAAGGAGAGUCAGGAUUCUCUUCUCCUU
rnacentral:misc_RNA from 1 species